UGUAGUGGUAGACGAUCCACCCGACCCGUCUUGAAACACGGACCAAGGAGUUUACCAUGUACGCGAGUCAAUGGGUGUGAAUUUCACAUUACACGAAACCCAGAGGCAUAGUGAAAGUAAAGGUUUUGAAUGUUACAAAUUUGAUAUGUUCUACUAUGUAGGUGUAACUAUUUAUAUGGUGGAAUAUAUGUUAUUUGGUAAUAGUCAGACUGAGGUGAGAUCCUAUUGGAUUCUAGGCUGAUCUGAUCAUGCAUUAGACCGAUAGGCGCAUCACCGGCCCGUCCCAUGGUGUAUUUCACCGGGGCGGAGCAAGAGCGUACAUGUUGAGACCCGAAAGAUGGUGAACUAUGCUUGCGCAGGUUGAAGCCGGAGGAAACUCUGGUGGAGGACCGUAGCGAUUCUGACGUGCAAAUCGAUCGUAUGACGUGAGUAUAGGGGCGAAAGACUAAUCGAACCAUCUAGUAGCUGGUUCCCUCCGAAGUUUCCCUCANNAAAACUUCUAAAA
rnacentral:rRNA from 1 species